rnacentral:rRNA from 1 species
UACGGAGGUGGCGAGCGUUGUCCGGAAUCACUGGGGCGUAAAGGGCGCGUAGGGCGGCCUGAUAAGUAGGGGUGAAAUCCUGAGGCUUAACCUCAGGGCUGCCUUCUAAACUGUCAGGCUCGGAGCACAGUAGAGGCAGGUGGAAUUCCAGUGUAGCGGUGAAAUGCGUAGAUAUUGGGAGGAACACCAGUGGCGAAGGCGGCUCACUGGACCGGAACUGGACGCUGAGGC